rnacentral:misc_RNA from 1 species
GAUGAAGAACGCAGCGAAAUGCGAUAAGUAGUGUGAAUUGCAGAAUUCAGUGAAUCAUCGAAUCUUUGAACGCACAUUGCGCCCCUUGGUAUUCCAUGGGGCAUGCCUGUUCGAGCGUCAUUUGUACCUUCAAGCUUUGCUUGGUGUUGGGUGUUUGUCUCGCCUUUGCGUGUAGACUCGCCUUAAAAUAAUUGGCAGCCGGCGUAUUGAUUUCGGAGCGCAGUACAUCUCGCGCUUUGCACUCAUAACGACGGCGUCCAAAAGUACAUUUUACACUCUUGACCUCGGAUCAGGUAGGGAUACCCGCUGAACUUAAGCAUAUCAAUAAGCGGAGGA